UAAUUUAAAGUCUAACCUGCCCUAUGAUAAUUUAAAUGGCCGCGGUAUUUUGACCGUGCUAAGGUAGCAUAAUCAAUAGUUUUUUAAUUGAAAGCUGGAAUGAAGGGUUGGAUAAAAAAAUUACUGUCUUUAUUUAAUUUUAUUAAAAUUUUAUUUUUAAGUUAAAAAGCUUAAAUUUUAUUAAAAGACGAGAAGACCCUAUAGAGUUUAAUAAAUUUAUUAAUUUAUAUAUUUAGAAUUUAUUUUAUUAAUUAGUCUAUUUAUUUAAUUGGGGUGAUUAAAAAAUUAAAUUAACUUUUUUUGUAUUUUUACAUUAAUAAAUGUUUAUUUGAUCCAUAAUUAAUGAUUAUAAGAUAAAAUUACCUUAGGGAUAACAGCGUUAUUUUUUUUUAGAGUUCAAAUCGAAAAAAAAGAUUGCGACCUCGAUGUUGGAUUAAAAUUAAUUUUUGGUGUAGUAGCUUUAAAAUUAGGUCUGUUCGACCUUUAAAAUUUUACAU
rnacentral:rRNA from 1 species